rnacentral:rRNA from 1 species
AACGAACGCUGGCGGCAGGCUUAACACAUGCAAGUCGAACGCCCCGCAAGGGGAGUGGCAGACGGGUGAGUAACGCGUGGGAAUCUACCCAGUUCUACGGAAUAACCCAGGGAAACUUGGACUAAUACCGUAUACGCCCUACGGGGGAAAGAUUUAUCGGAAUUGGAUGAGCCCGCGUUGGAUUAGCUAGUUGGUGGGGUAAUGGCCUACCAAGGCGACGAUCCAUAGCUGGUCUGAGAGGAUGAUCAGCCACACUGGGACUGAGACACGGCCCAGACUCCUACGGGAGGCAGCAGUGGGGAAUAUUGGACAAUGGGCGCAAGCCUGAUCCAGCCAUGCCGCGUGAGUGAUGAAGGCCUUAGGGUUGUAAAGCUCUUUCAGUGGGGACGAUAAUGACGGUACCCACAGAAGAAGCCCCGGCUAACUUCGUGCCAGCCGCCGCAGUAACAC